UUUUUCUUUCACCGGAGCUUGCUCCACCGAAAGAAAAAGAGUGGCGAACGGGUGAGUAACACGUGGGUAACCUGCCCAUCAGAAGGGGAUAACACUUGGAAACAGGUGCUAAUACCGUAUAACACUAUUUUCCGCAUGGAAGAAAGUUGAAAGGCGCUUUUGCGYCACUGAUGGAUGGACCCGCGGUGCAUUAGCUAGUUGGUGAGGUAACGGCUCACCAAGGCAACGAUGCAUAGCCGACCUGAGAGGGUGAUCGGCCACACUGGGACUGAGACACGGCCCAGACUCCUACGGGAGGCAGCAGUAGGGAAUCUUCGGCAAUGGACGAAAGUCUGACCGAGCAACGCCGCGUGAGUGAAGAAGGUUUUCGGAUCGUAAAACUCUGUUGUUAGAGAAGAACAAGGAUGAGAGUAAAAUGUUCAUCCCUUGACGGUAUCUAACCAGAAAGCCACGGCUAACUACGUGCCAGCAGCCGCGGUAAUACGUAGGUGGCAAGCGUUGUCCGGAUUUAUUGGGCGUAAAGCGAGCGCAGGCGGUUUCUUAAGUCUGAUGUGAAAGCCCCCGGCUCAACCGGGGAGGGUCAUUGGAAACUGGGAGACUUGAGUGCAGAAGAGGAGAGUGGAAUUCCAUGUGUAGCGGUGAAAUGCGUAGAUAUAUGGAGGAACACCAGUGGCGAAGGCGGCUCUCUGGUCUGUAACUGACGCUGAGGCUCGAAAGCGUGGGGAGCGAACAGGAUUAGAUACCCUG
rnacentral:rRNA from 1 species